CUACGCACUCCUACGGGAGGCAGCAGUGGGGAAUAUUGCACAAUGGGCGCAAGCCUGAUGCAGCCAUGCCGCGUGUAUGAAGAAGGCCUUCGGGUUGUAAAGUACUUUCAGCAGUGAGGAAGGUGGGUAUGUUAAUAGCAUACUCAUUUGACGUUAGCUGCAGAAGAAGCACCGGCUAACUCCGUGCCAGCAGCCGCGGUAAUACGGAGGGUGCGAGCGUUAAUCGGGAAUUACUGGGCGUAAAAGCGCAUGCAGGUGGUUUGUUAAGUCAGAUGUGAAAGCCCGGGGCUCAACCCUCGGAAUUGCAUUUGAAACUGGCAAACUAGAGUACUGUAGAGGGGGUAGAAUUUCAGGUGUAGCGGUGAAAUGCGUAGAGAUCUGAAGGAAUACCGGUGGCGAAGGCGGCCCCCUGGACAGAUACUGACACUCAGAUGCGAAAGCGUGGGGAGCAAACAGGAUUAGAUACCCUGGUAG
rnacentral:rRNA from 1 species